rnacentral:lncRNA from 1 species
GCAGCAGUAGCCUAAAGGGCUAAAAGUCUUGGACUUGAAAAGUCUGAAAAUGGCACCAGCUGAAGCAGAGUUGCAACAGCCUCAAAAGGCCGAAAAUUGAAGUGCAAAAAUUGGGUUAAAACCCAUAAAUAAUAGAGCAGCAGAGGCAAAAUAGCAGCAGUCCCAAAUGACUAAAAUUGGGAAUUUUUUGGACUUUAAAAGGUCCAAUUGAAACGGCAGCA